rnacentral:ncRNA from 1 species
AAGUUUUGGUCCUAAACUUACCCUUUGUUUUUAUCAAAAUUAUACAUGCAAGCCUCCACAUACCAGUGAGAAUGCCCAUAUAUUCCUAAACAGCAAACCGGAGCAGGCAUCAGGAUACAAUACUAACUUAGCCAACUACGCCUUGCAAAUGCCACACCCCCACGGGUCUUACAGCAGUAAUUAACAUUAAGACAUGAGCGUAAAGCUCGACUUAGUUACGAUAAAUUAUGGUCGGUAAAUCUCGUGCCAGCCACCGCGGUUAUACGAAAGACCAAAAAUAAAGGUCAACGGCGUAAAGUGUGACUGUGGAUAAAAUGCCAUUAAAGGAGAACAAGUGCCAGGUCGUAAAACACUACUGCACAUUAGAAACACAAUACACCUUUAAAACCACCUAUCUCACGAAAGUCAAGAAACAAACUGGGAUUAGAUACCCCACUAUGCUUAACCCUAAACACAGAUAGCACCAACACAAAACUAUCCGCCAGAGAACUACAAGCGAAAAGCUCGAAACUCCAAGGACUUGGCGGUGCUUCAAAUCAACCUAGAGGAGCCUGUCCUAUAAUCGAUACCCCCCGUUUCACCUUACCCCUUCUAGCUAAUCAGCCUAUAUACCGCCGUCGUCAGCCUACCUUAUGAAAGAAAUAAAGUGAGCAAAAAAGUUAAUAACUAAUACGUCAGGUCAAGGUGUAGCACACGAAGUGGUAGAGAUGGGCUACAUUUUUCCAAAGGAAAAACACAGACAAUGAACUGAAACACACACUUGAAGGCGGAUUUAGUAGUAAAAUAACUAAGAAUAUUCAUUUUAAACCUGCUCUGAAGCGCGCACACACCGCCCGUCACCCUCAUCA